rnacentral:rRNA from 1 species
AUUGAACGCUGGCGGCAGGCCUAACACAUGCAAGUCGAACGAGGGGCGGACGGGUGAGUAAUGUGUGGGAAACUGCCUGAUGGAGGGGGAUAACGACUGGAAACGGUAGUAAAGACCGCGUAACGUCCGAUGGGCACAGAGUGGAUUAGCUAGUAGGUGGGGUAACGGCUCACCUAGGCGACGAUCCCUAGCUGGUAUGAGAGGAUGACCAGCCACACUGGAACUGAGACACGGUCCAGACUCCUACGGGAGGCAGCAGUGGGGAAUUUUGGACAAUGGGCGAAAUCCUUAUGCAGCCAUCCCGCGUGUAUGAAGAAGGCCUUCGGGUUGUAAAGUACUUUCAGCGGGAAGGCGUUACCUGCAGAAGAAGCACCGGCUAACUCCGUGCCAGCCGCCGCGGUAAUAC